ensembl:ncRNA C24A8.13 ncRNA
GCUCGUUUUGCGCAGAGGGCUUUUCACGAUUUUAUGGAAACCGCAUCCACAUUUUGCAGGACCUCUGUUAUGAAACAUUUAAAAGCUAUGGACGAAUAAAUGAGGCUCACCUGCUGCUAUCUCGUGGCGGUAACAUCCACGAUUUUUC